rnacentral:rRNA from 1 species
AGAAUCAACGCUGGCGGCGUGCCUAACACAUGCAAGUCGCACGAGAAAGGGACUUCGGUCCUGAGUACAGUGGCGCACGGGUGAGUAACACGUGAAUCAUCUACCUUCGAGUGGGGAAUAAACUGAGAGAAAUCUUAGCUAAUACCGCAUAAUACCCACGGGUCAAAGCAGCAAUGCGCUUGAAGAGGAGUUCGCGGCAGAUUAGUUAGUUGGCGGGGUAAUGGCCCACCAAGACGAUGAUCUGUAUCCGGCCUGAGAGGGCGCACGGACACACUGGAACUGAAACACGGUCCAGACUCCUACGGGAGGCAGCAGUGGGGAAUUUUGCGCAAUGGGGGAAACCCUGACGCAGCAACGCCGCGUGGAGGAUGAAAUCCCUUGGGAUGUAAACUCCUUUCGAUAGGGAAGAUAAUGACGGUACCUAUAGAAGAACGCCCGGCUAACUUCGCGCCAGCAGCCGC